CUCAACAAGCUUGAAAACGGGUCGAUCCCGUGCAUAUUUGUCGGCUACUCUUUGUUGCAAAGUACAUAUCUAUGCCUCGAUCCAAAUUAAAACCGUGUUUACAUCAUGCCAUGUCAGGUUUAAUGAGAUAACCUUCCCCUACCAUCAUCUAAACCAACCAUCUCCACCACCACCAACUGAAACCUCACACCAAACCUCAACCUAUUAACCACACACAAACAUACACCCGACACCAUUAAUCGUACAGCCGCUCCCGUUAGUUGGGAACAGCCUGGCCACGAGCUCUGAGUCUUCACCAACGGAUGAGCAUGCAACAACAACACCGCACAAUGAGGCAACUGUUAAUACAAACAC
rnacentral:lncRNA from 1 species